CCAAAGGCUCUUUUCAGAGCCACCCACGUUCGCAGAGAAGGAGCUG
rfam:Myotis davidii contig109598, whole genome shotgun sequence.